GUUGGAAUCUGUUGGCCAGUUUAGUAAAACAAAAUGUUUUGGGAUUUUUUCAGCUCGGCAACUGUGAGUUAAAAUGAGCAAUUCCUUUGGUGAUUUGCCACAAUUUCCAUUUAGUAAUUAAGCCCCUAAUACUAGUUUAUCUUCUAUCACUGCCCACACUAUGACUGAACAAACACUCUCCGCUUUAUGAUACUUUCUUAUCUAAUGAAAUAUUUUCUAAAAUGCUUCUCCGCUACCAAGACUCCAGUCCUCGUAUAGUUAGGGAUCCCAGUUAUUCCACUAACAGUUACCUUCUAUGGGAUAAAUGUCAAAUGUCCCUAUUUAGGAGGGACAGUCCCUAUUUUGGGCUCAAAUCCUACCGCCCCUCUUUUAUAUCCCAAUGUCCAUUCUUUUCAGAAAACUCUGUGUGAGUGAUUGAAUACCAGAGCUCCACAGAAAUAAUAUCUACAGUAAUAUGUCUUUAAACUACAACAAAUGUAAAUAAAAUGUUUAGAAAUCAG